rnacentral:misc_RNA from 1 species
GAUGAAGAACGUAGCGAAAUGCGAUAAGUAAUGUGAAUUGCAGAAUUCAGUGAAUCAUCGAAUCUUUGAACGCACAUUGCGCCCCCUGGUAUUCCGGGGGGCAUGCCUGUUCGAGCGUCAUUUCACCACUCAAGCCUCGCUUGGUAUUGGGCAACGCGGUCCGCCGCGUGCCUCAAAUCGACCGGCUGGGUCUUCUGUCCCCUAAGCGUUGUGGAAACUUUCGCUAAAGGGUGUUCGGGAGGCUACGCCGUAAAACAACCCCAUUUCUAAGGUUGACCUCGGAUCAGGUAGGGAUACCCGCUGAACUUAAGCAUAUCAAUAAGCGGGA